rnacentral:rRNA from 1 species
GUCCACGCCGUAACGAUGGGCACUAGGUGUGGGAGGUGUCGACUCCUCCCGUGCCGGCGCUAACGCAUUAAGUGCCCCGCCUGGGGAGUACGGCCGCAAGGCUAAAACUCAAAGGAAUUGACGGGGCCCGCACAAGCAGCGGAGCAUGUGGUUUAAUUCGACGCAACGCGAAGAACCUUACCUGGGCUUGACAUGUGGGUGACCGGUGUGGAAACACACCUUUCCUUCGGGGACACCUUCACAGGUGGUGCAUGGCUGUCGU